rnacentral:rRNA from 1 species
AUUGAACGCUGGCGGCAGGCUUAACACAUGCAAGUCGAGCGGAGAUGAGGUGCUUGCACCUUAUCUUAGCGGCGGACGGGUGAGUAAUGCUUAGGAAUCUGCCUAUUAGUGGGGGACGACAUUCCGAAAGGAAUGCUAAUACCGCAUACGCCCUACGGGGGAAAGCAGGGGAUCUUCGGACCUUGCGCUAAUAGAUGAGCCUAAGUCGGAUUAGCUAGUUGGUGGGGUAAAGGCCUACCAAGGCGACGAUCUGUAGCGGGUCUGAGAGGAUGAUCCGCCACACUGGGACUGAGACACGGCCCAGACUCCUACGGGAGGCAGCAGUGGGAAAUAUUGGACAAUGGGCGGAAGCCUGAUCCAGCCAUGCCGCGUGUGUGAAGAAGGCCUUUUGGUUGUAAAGCACUUUAAGCGAGGAGGAGGCUACCUGGAUUAAUACUCUAGGAUAGUGGACGUUACUCGCAGAAUAAGCACCGGCUAACUCUGUGCCAGCCGCCGCCGUAAUAC